AUUUAUWAAAACAAAAYGCACCGGSGGGCUCCGUGGYGAAUAUUACUCUCGAUAACUUUCCUGAUCCCUUGGCCUCGAGCCGGUUACUUAUCUUUCCUGCCCCUGCCCUUUCAACUAUGGAUGGAAGGAUAUUGGCCGACCUUGGCUAUAACGGGUAACGGGGAAUCCGGCUCCGAUUCCGGAGAGGGAGCCUUAGAAACSGCUUCCACAUCUAAGGAAGGGMGCRGGMACKMMAAUUUCCCACUCUCGGCUGGWGGAGGCAGUGACKAAAAAUACCRGGCUCUUACUCUAUGAGGCCCCGKAAUGGGAAUGAGUACACUGCAAAAAUGUUAAACAGUACCAGGGCAAGGGYAAGUCUGGYGCCCGCGGCCGCGGCAGCUCCAGCUCCAAUAGUGWAUAUUAAUGUUGCUGCAAUUAAAAAGCUUGAASUUGGAUCUUGGCAUGGAUCUGGUGGUUCCGCUGAUGCUGUUUCUGCUAGUUUCCGCCUAAUCAGCUGUAUGUUGUUUGUUCUGCUCUUAACCGAGGGCACCGAAUGCUCUGCUUUUUAACUUUUGAACAAAUUCRAGUGCUCACAGY
rnacentral:rRNA from 1 species